ACGGGGGCCCGCACAAGCGGAGGAACAUGUGGUUUAAUUCGAUGAUACGCGAGGAACCUUACCCGGGCUCAAACGGGAGUGGAAUGGACCAGAGACGGUUCAGCCUACGGGCCGCUUCCGAGGUGCUGCAUGGUUGUCGUCAGCUCGUGCCGUGAGGUGUCGGCUUAAGUGCCAUAACGAGCGCAACCCCCGCCGGCAGUUGCUAACGGGCAAUGCCGAGGACUCUGCCGGGACUGCCGCCGCAAGGCGUGAGGAAGGCGGGGAUGACGUCAAAUCAGCACGGCCCUUACGUCCGGGGCGACACACGUGUUACAAUGGGCGGUACAGCGGGAAGCCAGGCGGCGACGCCGAGCGGAACCCGAAAGCCGUUCUCAGUUCGGAUCGGAGUCUGCAACCCGACUCCGUGAAGCUGGAUUCGCUAGUAAUCGCGCAUCAGCCAUGGCGCGGUGAAUACGUUCCCGG
rnacentral:rRNA from 1 species